UCAUUUAGCCAUCCUUUAAGAAUGCUUAACCCACCAUGAAAGGCUGCAAUGGGAACCACCAAGGCCCUCUCCACCUGGAUGAGCAUUCCACAGUGGUGAUGGAGUUAAACUCUGAGGACCAAGCUUUGGGGAGGCAUCAUUUAUUUUCAGGCCUUUCCACUGGGCUUCAGCGAUCAACCAGUAAUACUGUGGACACACACUUCUAAUGGCCUAUGUUUUGAAACUGAGUCUAAUCUAAUGGCGUGGGGCCCAAACUCCUUUUCUAGCACAGCCAUUAAAGGAUGUAGGUUAUUGCUGUUGUCACCAUUGAUAUUUGUCAUUGUAAUGUAAUUAGGGCCCUAAAAUGAUGCAUUACAGCCCUUGGCACAGCUUCUAUUAAAAUCUUUUCUUCUGCUCACUGAA